CCUACGGGUGGCAGCAGUGGGGAAUAUUGGGCAAUGGGCGCAAGCCUGACCCAGCAACGCCGCGUGAAGGAAGAAGGCUUUCGGGUUGUAAACUUCUUUUGUCAGGGACGAAGCAAGUGACGGUACCUGACGAAUAAGCCACGGCUAACUACGUGCCAGCAGCCGCGGUAAUACGUAGGUGGCAAGCGUUAUCCGGAUUUAUUGGGUGUAAAGGGCGUGUAGGCGGGAAUGCAAGUCAGAUGUGAAAACUAUGGGCUCAACCCAUAGCCUGCAUUUGAAACUGUUUUGCUUGAGUACUGGAGAGGCAGACGGAAUUCCUGGUGUAGCGGUGAAAUGCGUAGAUAUAAGGAGGAACACCAGUGGCGAAGGCGGUCUGCUGGACAGCAACUGACGGUGAGGCGCGAAAGCGUGGGGAGCAAACAGGAUUAGAUACCCUUGUAGUC
rnacentral:rRNA from 1 species